rnacentral:rRNA from 1 species
GACGAACGCUGGCGGCGUGCUUAACACAUGCAAGUCGAACGAUGAUGCUGGAGCUUGCUCCAGUUGAUUAGUGGCGAACGGGUGAGUAACACGUGAGCAAUCUGCCCUUGACUCUGGGAUAACUGCGGGAAACUGUAGCUAAUACCGGAUACUUUCACCGGAAGGCAUCUUCUGGUGAUGAAAGAAUUUCGGUCAGGGAUGAGCUCGCGGCCUAUCAGCUUGUUGGUGAGUUAACGGCUAACCAAGGCGACGACGGGUAGCCGGCCUGAGAGGGUGACCGGCCACACUGGGACGGAGACACGGCCCAGACUCCUACGGGAGGCAGCAGUGGGGAAUAUUGCACAAUGGGCGCAAGCCUGAUGCAGCAACGCCGCGUGAGGGAUGAAGGCCUUCGGGUUGUAAACCUCUUUUAGCAGGGAAGAAGCGAAAGUGACGGUACCUGCAGAAAAAGCACCGGCUAACUACGUGCCAGCAGCCGCCGUAA